CCAGGUGCCCCAGGAUGGUACCUUUCACAUGAGAGAUUUAUUUCAUGCUUUCUGGAGACAAAGGAAGGGUCCCCAAAAUAUCCUGAGGUUCCUACACCUGCCUGGAAGUGGCCUUCCUUUACUUACCUGGAACUCAAGUUUUCAUCAAGAAGCCAGCCAGAACCAGUCAGGACCACUGAACUCCUCUUUGAGCACAACAAAAUGAAAUUAACCCUCCUUGACUUGGUUACUUUCUUUAUCUGAUUUGAGUAGCAUAGCUCCUUUCCCGUUUACCCAGACUCUUUUCUGCUUUCCUUUAAAAAAACAAACAAACAAAAAAACCCCCCAAAAAACAAAAACAAAAAAACCCUCGAGUCUCCCUCUCCGAGAGAUGGUUUUGGAGCUGUUCUCCCAUCUCCUCAUUUGGCAGCCUUUCAAAUAAACUGUUGCCACAUGCUCAAUGUCUCAGUGAUCGACUUUGAUGGACAUCGGGCACAUGAACUUGAGUUUGGUUACAAUAAGACAAUGAAGAACUCUCCAUAAAGAGGAGAGUGGCUCAGUCACUUAAGCGUCUGCCUUCGGCUCAG